AGCUCCUUUGUGCUUGACAAGAACCAGAGCAGCUGGACGCUGGAGCACCAGGUGUCCCUACGACCCUUGCAGAUGAGAGGGGCAACACGUAUUGUCCUCAUUGACCCACUUGAUUCCAAUGUCGUGCACCUCGAGGUUGUGACUGGGACGCACCUCCGGGAAAUGGUUGUCGUGGACAUGAAUAGUGGGGAGGCGAGUGCGAGCUUCCAGUACAGAGGCAACGCGGAAUGUAUACCAUGUGUUCUUCCAUCCUGGCUUGGAUCCAGCCAGAUCCCUUCUACAGGCAAGAAAGACAUCAAGAAAGACAAGACUUUGGCAGAUGUUCUCGUUCGUGCAGGCAGUCCUUAGAAGUGAUGAAGGUUUCUUAAAACUAACAGCAGCUGCUCCUCUAAUAAAUUAGGAAGCUGAUGGUGGACCAAACUGUGAUUUCAGGAUUCCCGAUUUGUCUUCUGUCUCUUUUGGGUGGUAAUCUGGGAGUUCUUUCAGACUUUCAGUUCGUGGUAGAACAUUCCAGCAGAGUUGCUAAAUUGAUUCAGCAUGUAACGACUAACACUAAACAUUGUACGUAUAUGCUGUGUUUACUAGCAAGACACUGCAUCUGUAGGAAAAGAUUGAUGUUUCCGCAUGUUGAACUCUUAUGAGAAAUCUUAUUAAGGGAUCUAAUCUUAUGUUCA